rnacentral:rRNA from 1 species
GAUGAACGCUCGCUGUGUGCCUAAUACAUGCAUGUUGAACGGGAUGUAGCAAUACAUUCAGUAGCGAAUGGGUGAGUAACACGUACCUAACCUACCUUUAAGACUGGGAUAACUAUUGGAAACAAUAGCUAAUACCGGAUAUAGUUAUUUAUCGCAUGAUGAGUAAUAGAAAGGAGCUUCACAGCUUCACUUAAAAAUGGGGGUGCGGAACAUUAGUUAGUUGGUAGGGUAAUGGCCUACCAAGACGAUGAUGUUUAGCCGGGCCGAGAGGCUGUACGGCCACACUGGGACUGAGAUACGGCCCAGACUCCUACGGGAGGCAGCAGUAAGGAAUUUUCCACAAUGAGCGAAAGCUUGAUGGAGCGACACAGCGUGCAGGAUGAAGUUCUUCGGAAUGUAAACUGCUGUUAUAAGGGAAGAAAAAAUAGAAUAGGAAAUGAUUUUAUCUUGACGGUACCUUAUUAGAAAGCGACGGCAAACUAUGUGCCAGCCGCUGCGGUAAUACAUAGGUCGCAAGCGUUAUCCGGAAUUAUUGGGCGUAAAGCGUCCGUAGGUUUUUUGCUAAGUCUGGAGUUAAAUGCUGAAGCUCAACUUCAGUCCGCUUUGGAUACUGGCAAAAUAGAAUUAUAAAGAGGUUAGCGGAAUUCCUAGUGAAGCGGUGGAAUGCGUAGAUAUUAGGAAGAACACCAAUAGGCGAAGGCAGCUAACUGGUUAUAUAUUGACACUAAGGGACGAAAGCGUGGGGAGCAAACAGG